rnacentral:rRNA from 1 species
UACGUAGGGUGCGAGCGUUAAUCGGAAUUACUGGGCGUAAAGCGUGCGCAGGCGGUUUUGUAAGACAGAUGUGAAAUGCCCGGGCUUAACCUGGGAACUGCAUUUGUGACUGCAAGGCUAGAGUGUGUCAGAGGGGGGUAGAAUUCCACGUGUAGCAGUGAAAUGCGUAGAGAUGUGGAGGAAUACCGAUGGCGAAGGCAGCCCCCUGGGAUAACACUGACGCUCAUGCACGAAAGCGUGGGGAGCAAACAGG